rnacentral:lncRNA from 1 species
GCAUGGAUGAUUCGCUAGAAUAGAAACGAGUACCCUAAGAAAAACGCAUAAGCAGCCUAGCGCAAAGGGAGCAGGGGUCUCAGCACUAGCGACCCGUAGGUCGCAGGUCUGGCUCGGCGGCGCCCUCCCUGGGGUCGCCGGGGACAUUGGAUCCUUUCUACUCAAGGCAGGAAGGGCGCCGUUCCCAGCCGCAGAGCGCAGCGCGCUCACGGGGUGGGGCCGCCGGGUGGGCCCCAGCAUCCAGCAGCCGCAGCUCCGGGCACUGGGGCUUCACUGCAGCUAUUGCGCAGACUCUGCGUUCCACGCAGGCUUAUUAGGAAGAAAGAGGGCAAAACUGCCCGGAGGCACGUGAACGCGUAGGGACCAACCGGGCCUCCGCGCCCCGCCGCAUCCCAGUCCCGAAUUUACGAUCACGAAAGUUCGACCGCCCGCGGAUUGGCUCUCGGGCCGCAUGACGUCAUAGCGCUUGAUCCCUGCUCGCAGCCGGGAUUGGCUGGCCGCGGCACUGUGACGUCACGGUCAGCCCACGCUCCGGCUGUGGACAGCGGCGCCUUCCUCUUACCCGCGGCCGGCGCUCCUCUCGCUUCGCAUCCUCGUCGGCUCCAGCUGGCCGCGGGAGUCCCGCCGCCGCUGCCGCCGCUGCGCUGUCCUCGGAGCCGCUGCUACCUCGGAGGAGGACAUAUACUUCUCCUCCCCUGUAAAUCUGUACCCCUGACCUUAAGGUGCUUCUCCACCGUCAGUGAAGAACCGCUGGUGAGGAGAGGAGAGUCCUGGUCCUGUCAAGCUCACCUAGCCAGGGACUGGCAGAGCCAGAAGAGAUGCCCUCUGGCCCCUUCUUGGACCACGUCCCGUCAGUAGGACUCCAGUGAGGAACAGUGAAUAUAGCUUCACUUCACAGAGAUGAUUCUCUUUAGGCCUUCCUGGCCUCGGGGUUCCAGCAGACUGAGUCAGGUGCAG